GAUGCUGAUCCCUCCUGACAGCUGCUCCUAAGGCUGGCAAGGCAGCAGCAGGCAGGGGGGGAGGGACCAGAUUUAAAGAUCCAGCCGCCCUGCCCCCUGCCAGACUUGGGCCAACAGGGAGGACAGUGCCCCCACUAUGAGAUUUCGACGCCUGACUCCUGGCUACUUCCGGGUGCUACAGAUGCAGGUGGCUGGGGAGCUGAAGGCAGAGCCCCGGAGUCCCCUGGUUGGGAUUGUGGCUACAUUGUUGGCUGUCCUCGGGUUAGGUGGCUCCUGCUAUGCAGUAUGGAAGAUGGUGAAGCAGCGGCAACCAUCACAGGCCCCGUGAUGAGGCGGGUAGCCUCUCGCCCAGGCUUGGAGCUUCUUCCUGACUGUAGGGUUCGACACUCAGCUGCUUCAGCCUGGGAAAAAGAAGAGUUGGAGAUCGGAGCUCACCGAGUGCAAACCCUUCCUGCAUGGCACCCAUCCGCCAGUCCUCUACUGACCCCUCCAUACCUUUUCUUGUGGUCUUUGGAUCGGAAAUGGGUCUUCAGGUUGGCUGAAU
rnacentral:lncRNA from 1 species